AUUGAACGCUGGCGGCAGGCCUAACACAUGCAAGUCGAACGAGUGGCGGACGUGUGAGUCAUGUCUGGGAACCUGCCCGAUGGAGGGGGAUAACUACUGGAAACGGUAGCUAAUACCGCAUACCAUCGGAUUUGCCCCGAUGGGAUUAGCUAGUCGGUGGGGUAACGGCUUACCAAGGCGACGAUCCCUAGCUGGUCUGAGAGGUUGACCAGCCACACUGGAACUGAGACACGGUCCAGACUCCUACGGGAGGCAGCAGUAGGGAAUAUUGCACAAUGGGCGAAAGCCUGAUGCAGCCAUGCCGCAUGUAUGAAGAAGGCCUUCGGGUUGUAAAGUACUUUCAGCGGGGAGGCGUUACCCGCAGAAGAAGCACCGGCUAACUCCGUGCCAGCAGCCGCGGUAAUAC
rnacentral:rRNA from 1 species